UAAGCGAGCAGUGAAAUCUUGUGGCUCAACCAUAAGGCUAUUGCUUGAACUGCUAAGCUAGAGUGCGAUAGAGGUAACUGGAAUUCCAAGUAUAGGAGUGAAAUCCGUAGAUAUUUGGAGGAACACCGAUGGCGUAGGCAGGUUACUGGAUCGCAACUGACACUGAGGCACGAAAGCGUGGGAGCAAACGGGAUUAGAUACCCCGGUAGUCCACGCCCUAAACUAUGGAUGCUA
rnacentral:rRNA from 1 species